CUGGCGUCAGUAGGCUCAAGCCCUUUACCAGACUCUAUACGUCGCCAACUUCAUCGACAACUACCGACAGGAGCUCGCUAGAUACCCUGCUUUGACUACAGGUACACAACAAGUACAACCAAUAUACAAUAUUACUAGGAUUCAUGCUUGAGGAAAUACUUUUUGAACACAUAUCUUUGGCUAUAGACUCACUAUUUCACCGUUCAAAACCCCAUUCCUCAUCUCUCAAACACAGUGGCCACCAUGUCAUCUCCGAUGGCCUCUCCUGCUGCCUCGCAACAACCUUCUACAGAAACUUCGGUGAGCUUGUUUAUACAUUUGUUUUCUCUUAUUCAUAUUAUUUACAAAGAUUAUAUCUCUAUUUGUUCUUUAGU